UACGUAGGGGGCGAGCGUUGUCCGGAUUUAUUGGGCGUAAAGAGCGUGUAGGCGGCCAGGUAGGUCCGUUGUGAAAACUCGAGGCUCAACCUCGAGACGUCGGCGGAAACCAUCUGGCUAGAGUCCGGAAGAGGAGAGUGGAAUUCCUGGUGUAGCGGUGAAAUGCGCAGAUAUCAGGAAGAACACCUAUGGCGAAGGCAGCACUCUGGGACGGUACUGACGCUGAGACGCGAAAGCGUGGGGAGCGAACAGG
rnacentral:rRNA from 1 species